rnacentral:lncRNA from 1 species
UUACGUGUACUUGUAUUUCCCCAAAUUAAUUAAAAUCCUUAAAGUUUCAACUCACUCAAUCAUCGCCAUCAAUGUCGAGGCUUCUCCUUCUCUCCCUCUCCUUCCUCUUCACCAUUCUGUAUCUCCCUUGCUCCUCCCUCGCCGAUAUCGGCACCGCCGCCUGGUACGCUCCUCCUUAUUCUCGUAAGUACACUCCCUCCCCCCCUCCCUCCUCAGUCCAAUUUCAUAUAUGAUUUGUGUUUUCUCGAUCUGUGAACUCUCUGAAUACAAAAUCUUCCCCAGCGACGGCGUGUUACGGCGGCGAC